GUACCCGUAGCUCAGCGGAUUAGAGCGGUUGUCUACGGAACAACAGGUCGGGGGUUCGAAUCCCUCCGGGUACG
rnacentral:tRNA from 1 species